GCUCUGCUCCUGACUCAGAGCUGUUUCUUCUCAUCUCAUCAUCUCACCUGCCAUUUAAGGAGGACCUCCACAAGCAGUCUUUGCCAGUCUGCCUUUUUCCACGAGAGAAACCCGAGUCCGCAUUCCACCUCGAGCAGAAGCUGAAACCCUCCACGCUCCUCAAGAACUCCAGCCACGCCACCGCCAAGAACUCCUGCCACGCCUCAGCCUUUUACUCCAGCCACGUCGCGGUCUAAGGCACUCCAUUCACGCCGCAGUCAAGAGCUCCAGUCACGCCACAGUAAAGUUCCCGCACUCACCGUUAGUCGAGGAAUCCUCGUCAAGCUCCACGCCCCGUCCUGUUCCUGGAUCCGCUGGCUCUUUCAAAAUAAAACCAAUUCCUUACCAUUCA